rnacentral:rRNA from 1 species
GUCCACGCCGUAAACGAUGAUAACUAGCUGUCCGGGCACUUGGUGCUUGGGUGGCGCAGCUAACGCAUUAAGUUAUCCGCCUGGGGAGUACGGUCGCAAGAUUAAACUCAAAGGAAUUGACGGGGGCCUGCACAAGCGGUGGAGCAUGUGGUUUAAUUCGAAGCAACGCGCAGAACCUUACCAGCCUUUGACAUCCCGCGCUAACCAGAGAGAUCUGGGGUUCCCUUCGGGGACGCGGUGACAGGUGCUGCAUGGCUGUCGU